rnacentral:lncRNA from 1 species
CUGCCAUGCACCCUUACAGUGAUACAACCUUGAUUUGUAACUACUGAAAUCCCACUUUGAAGGAGCCAGUAAGUGCCAUAUAUUAGCUGAAAUAAAUCCUGGACAACUGAGGACUUGGACCAAAAUGGCUACCUUAAGGACAAGCCUUCCCUCUAGACACAUGUGUGCCAGCUCCUCUCAGGAAGAGUCAGCCUGACAGUGAUCAUCAAUGACAGUCUGCUUUUCAGAGAGCCUUCAGAGAAGAACUUCCCCUCUACCAGUACAGUUAUUGCAUAUUGGACUCAACACAUUUCUGAAGUGGGACAAGAUUACAUACUCCAGCAAACUCAGCUAUAACGUCUACAAGGGACUGAAAACAACCACUUAUGCCAAAAGAGUUUUGGACAGAAGAGUGUUUUGGAUGGAAGAUAAGGAAUUUGAGUUUUAACAUGAGAUGCAGAAGUGGAUGAAAUGAAGUAGUGCUGAGAAGCAGCAGCAGAUUGGAAAAUCACCACUAUAGAGACAGUAGUAGAAACUGUGGAUGCAGACAGAAAUGACAAGAUUUGCCUUAUCUGGCCACAGAAAGAAGUCUAUAUCCAUCACCAAACACAACUGCAUGGCUGCAGACAGCUUUAAAAAUGGCUGAUCAAGUGAAAAUCUGACCCCUCAUUGCAUGGGGGGGAGGGGUGUCAGAUGAUGAUGUUUCAAAACAGGGCAUCUUCUCUAACUUCUUUCUGUUAGCCUGUCAGUAUUUUCAGAAUGGAAGGGGGGUGGUCUCUCAGGGGAGCUCCAAUUCACCCAACCCCAUCCUGCAGCCCUGGCUGGGGAACCCCUAGAAUGAGCUCCUGCUCUCUUUCCCCACUCCCAUUCUGAAA